ensembl:miRNA
GCCAAAAAGUUCGUUCGGAUUUUUCCGGAAGCUGUGUGGAAAACCCGAACAAACUUUUUGGC